GAACAAAAGCGCCAGAACUUACAUACUAAGUUGACGAGGACUGGGAUUAUCGAAAUUUCGGCGGGUAUUCCAGAGGUGACUACAACCUAAGACUUUUUACAAAACUAAAUGGGUAACCUUUAGGACAAAGAAAAGUA
rnacentral:ncRNA from 1 species